rnacentral:rRNA from 1 species
CGGAACGGGUGAGUAACGCGUGAGGAACCCGCCUCAAAGAGGGGACGAACAGUUGGAAACGACUGCUAAUACCGCAUAAGCCACGGCUCGGCAUCGAGCAGAGGGAAAAGGAGCAAUCCGCUUUGAGAUGGCCUCGCGUCCGAUUAGCUAGUUGGUGAGGUAACGGCCCACCAAGGCGACGAUCGGUAGCCGGACUGAGAGGUUGAACGGCCACAUUGGGACUGAGACACGGCCCAG